rnacentral:rRNA from 1 species
UACGUAGGGUGCAGGCGUUAAUCGGAAUUACUGGGCGUAAAGCGUGCGCAGGCGGUUAUGUAAGACAGAUGUGAAAUCCCCGGGCUCAACCUGGGAACUGCAUUUGUGACUGCAUAGCUUGAGUGCGGCAGAGGGGGAUGGAAUUCCGCGUGUAGCAGUGAAAUGCGUAGAUAUGCGGAGGAACACCGAUGGCGAAGGCAAUCCCCUGGGCCUGCACUGACGCUCAUGCACGAAAGCGUGGGGAGCAAACAGG